rnacentral:rRNA from 1 species
CCAAUAGCGUAUAUUAAAGUUGCUGCAGUUAAAAAGCUCGUAGUUGAAUUUCGGGAUCAAUAUAUCGGUCGUGCCUUCGGUAUGCACUGGUAUUAUUGAUUUCUACCUUCUGACGAAUCAUGAUGUCAUUAAUUUGGUGUCAUGGGGAAUCAGGACUGUUACUUUGAAAAAAUUAGAGUGUUUAAAGCAGGCACACGCUUGAAUACAUUAGCAUGGAAUAAUGAAAUAGGACGUUUGACCCUAUUUUGUUGGUUUCUAGGAUCGACGUAAUGAUUAAUAGGGAUAGUUGGGGGCAUUAGUAUUCAAUUGUCAGAGGUGAAAUUCUUGGAUUUAUUGAAGACUAACUACUGCGAAAGCAUUUGCCAAGGAUGUUUUCAUUAAUCAAGAACGAAAGUUAGGGGAUCGAAGACGAUCAGAUACCGUCGUAGUCUUAACCAUAAACUAUGCCGACUAGGGAUCGGAUGAUGUUAAUUUUUUAAUGACUCAUUCGGCGCCUUACG